CCUGGAAGGAGAGAUACAGACAACCAAGACACAUUUAUAUAGACCUGCAAGAAAAUAUUCAAACGUCGGUGCUACUUUCAGGAAAUAGUUCUUCUAAUUUUAUUGUGGAGAAUGGCUUUGAAAUUAGAGGAUACUUAGGAAUCAUCUUCGAGGAAACUUGUUGCAUUGUAGGCCGAGAUUUGGGAUUGAUACGCAAGCAUGUAAAUGCUAACAUGGUAAUGUAGACAACAUCCUCUGCAACUUGAUUUUGAGGAAGUGGAAGACGCUGGUCAAUCACAUCCUUUAACAAUUUAUGCUGAUCAUUCAGUGAUGACGAAGAUGCUGAUGACCAAAGAGAUGAGAUGAGGUUGC
rnacentral:misc_RNA from 1 species